rnacentral:rRNA from 1 species
AGUGAACGCUGGCGGUAGGCCUAACACAUGCAAGUCGAACGGCAGCACAUUAAGAGCUUGCUCUUACGGGUGGCGAGUGGCGGACGGGUGAGGAAUACAUCGGAAUCUACUUUUUCGUGGGUGAUAACGUAGGGAAACUUACGCUAAUACCGCAUACGACCUACGGGUGAAAGCAGGGGAUCUUCGGACCUUGCGCGAUUGAAUGAGCCGAUGUCGGAUUAGCUAGUUGGCGGGGUAAAGGCCCACCAAGGCGACGAUCCGUAGCUGGUCUGAGAGGAUGAUCAGCCACACUGGAACUGAGACACGGUCCAGACUCCUACGGGAGGCAGCAGUGGGGAAUAUUGGACAAUGGGCGCAAGCCUGAUCCAGCCAUACCGCGUGGGUGAAGAAGGCCUUCGGGUUGUAAAGCCCUUUUGUUGGGAAAGAAAAGCAGCAGGUUAAUACCCCGCUGUUCUGACGGUACCCAAAGAAUAAGCACCGGCUAACUUCGUG